rnacentral:rRNA from 1 species
GAUGAACGCUGGCGGCGUGCCUAAUACAUGCAAGUCGAGCGAAUGGAUUAAGAGCUUGCUCUUAUGAAGUUAGCGGCGGACGGGUGAGUAACACGUGGGUAACCUGCCCAUAAGACUGGGAUAACUCCGGGAAACCGGGGCUAAUACCGGAUAACAUUUUGAACCGCAUGGUUCGAAAUUGAAAGGCGGCUUCGGCUGUCACUUUUGGAUGGGCCCGCGUCGCAUUAGCUAGUUGGUGAGGUAACGGCUCACCAAGGCAACGAUGCGUAGCCGACCUGAGAGGGUGAUCGGCCACACUGGGACUGAGACACGGCCCAGACUCCUACGGGAGGCAGCAGUAGGGAAUCUUCCGCAAUGGACGAAAGUCUGACGGAGCAACGCCGCGUGAGUGAUGAAGGCUUUCGGGUCGUAAAACUCUGUUGUUAGGGAAGAACAAGUGCUAGUUGAAUAAGCUGGCACCUUGAUGGUACCUAACCAGAAAGCCACGGCUAACUACGUGCCAGCCGCCGCGGUAA